CAAGUUAAUGGUGAGACAAUUCUGUCUUUAGAUCCACUCAUGGACACUCUGAUGACUGAUCCUGUGAGGCUGCCAUCUGGAACUAUUAUGGACAGGUCAAUCAUCCUGAGGCAUCUGUUGAACUCUUCCACUGAUCCUUUCAAUCGUCAGACACUGACUGAAAAUAUGCUGGAACCAGUGCCAGAACUUAAGGAGCAAAUCCAAGCCUGGAUGAGAGACAAGCAGAAUGCUGAUCAUUAAAAAUUCCCUCGCAGUGCACGCCAAUGCCAAUGGGAAGACCAGGGCGUGGGCUGGUCUGGUGGAGCAGACACAUUUUGAAAGCUAUUGAUGGGAUUAGCACGCCCACUGGCACUGACUUGCAGUAGUGACCAGGAGCAUGCGGAUGAGAAGAAAAGCAGCUUAAUUCUUGUACAUAUAUUUAAGUGAUAACGAUGGUCAAUAACAUGGAGGACAAAUUAGGAAGUUGCUUAUGUUACAAAACUGUCCUUCAGUAUGUCACGUUUUGGAGUUUUUACAGCUGAAUUAUUUUAGCAAAGAUGAAUGGAUCAGGGCAGCAUCCCUUCAACCUUAUUUUUUACAGCCAGAUAUCCGUUAAUUUGAUUGUGGUUAAAACCUUGGACAUUUUGCUGCUAAAGUAACUUUUUCCUCUUUCCCUUCCUUCUUCCACCCUGCAAACCUGCACUGCUGUCUUUUUUUUUUUCUUUAUGCAAAAAAAAAUCCCUGUGAAUAACAAAAUCAUUCCCCUGCCCUCAAAAGAACAUAUUCUGUGCGAUAACUGUGCCUGCAACAAAGUGUUAAUCUUGGGAUCAUAUUUUUAUAUGAUACAUAUUCACAUAUUUGGGUUUUUUUAAUUGGUGUUAGAAGACAAAAGAAUACUUUAAAAAAGGCAAAGAUUUGACAUGUGUAUUUUAAGUUCUGGUUCUUUGAGAUCUCACUUUUCUUUAUGUUGAUCUGGAUGCUCUGGUAUUUUUGACAAGCCUUGUGACAGACGUAUGAUAAAACAGCUGCCAUGAAUGAGAUACUUGGAAUACCAGGAUUUCGGUGACUUUCUAAGAAAUAAAAUCCAUUCUUCUAAUGCUGAAAAUACGAUUUAUGCUAAAUGACAAUUCUGAGCCUUUAGAGCUUGUCCGCAGAGAGCAGAUCCUUUUAUUCUUAGAGGUUGCAGUUGGGGCAGGGGUCAUUUUUAUGUUGCUUACCAAUUUGUAUCCAUGGCUUGGCCUUACCAAAGCAUAAAGGGUGCAGGAAAUGUAGAAUUACAUUUUUU